CAAUAGCGUAUAUUUAAGUUGCUGCAGUUAAAAAGCUCGUAGUUGGAUUUCGGGUGGGAAUGGCCGGUCCGCCGUUUCGGUGUGCACUUGCUACGCCCACCUUGCUGCCGGGGACGUGCUCUUGAGUUCACGCUCGGGACACGGAGUCGGCGAGGUUACUUUGAGUAAAUUAGAGUGUUCAAAGCAGGCCUACGCUCUGAAUACAUUAGCAUGGGAUAACACGAUAGGACUCUGGCCUAUCUUGUUGGUCUGUAGGACCGGAGUAAUGAUUAAGAGGGACAGUCGGGGGCAUUCGUAUUUCAUUGUCAGAGGUGAAAUUCUUGGAUUUAUGAAAGACGAACUACUGCGAAAGCAUUUGCCAAGGAUGUUUUCAUUAA
rnacentral:rRNA from 1 species